UACGUAGGGUGCAAGCGUUAAUCGGAAUUACUGGGCGUAAAGCGUGCGCAGGCGGUUAUGUAAGACAGAUGUGAAAUGCCCGGGCUUAACCUGGGAACUGCAUUUGUGACUGCAUGGCUAGAAUCUGGCAGAGGGGGGUAGAAUUCCACGUGUAGCAGUGAAAUGCGUAGAUAUGCGGAGGAACACCGAUGGCGAAGGCAAUCCCCUGGACCUGUACUGACGCUCAU
rnacentral:rRNA from 1 species